UGCUGGACCCAGUUUCGUUAUCUGAUCUGAAUUUUCUGAAAUGUGCAAGGUAGAUAGACAUUGGCCUUUUGAUUUUUUUUUACUCGGUAAGUUUUGGCCUAAUUGGUUGAACUUUUUCAAUAUUAAAGCCGAUUUCAAUGAGUGUGUAGACAAAGGGAAUAUCCUUGGUUAUCUUGCUUGCAGAACAGAAAAGACAUUGUUAGGUUAUGUAAACUACCCUACUUUAAGAGUAGACUAGUCCGACAAAUGACAC
rnacentral:lncRNA from 1 species